CCUACGGGGGUCAGCAGUGAGGAAUAUUGGUCAAUGGACGAGAGUCUGAACCAGCCAAGUAGCGUGAAGGAUGACUGCCCUAUGGGUUGUAAACUUCUUUUAUAUGGGAAUAAAAUGUUCCACGUGUGGGAUUUUGUAUGUACCAUAUGAAUAAGGAUCGGCUAACUCCGUUCCAGCAGCCGCUGUAAUACGGAGGAUCCGAGCGUUAUCCGGAUUUAUUGGGUUUAAAGGGAGCGUAGGUGGAUUGUUAAGUCAGUUGUGAAAGUUUGCGGCUCAACCGUAAAAUUGCAGUUGAAACUGGCAGUCGUGAGUACAGUAGAGGUGGGCGGAAUUCGUGGUGUAGCGGUGAAAUGCUUAGAUAUCACGAAGAACUCCGAUUGCGAAGGCAGCUCACUGGACUGCAACUGACACUGAGGCUCGAAAGUGUGGGUAUCAAACAGGAUUAGAUACCCCAGUAGUC
rnacentral:rRNA from 1 species